CGGGCCUUGUACACACCGCCCGUCACACCACGAAAGUUGUUUGUACCCAAAGUUGCCUUAGCUAACCUGAAAGGGGGCGGGUACCCAAGGUAUGAGCAGUGAUUGGGCGUG
rnacentral:rRNA from 1 species